GGGGGCGUAACGGCUUCGACGUGUUAUUGUGAGCGUUGAGAGCAUGCCGAGCUUCGAUUGAGUGUUCGUUAAAUAAUCGAUCAAACAAUAAGUGCAGAACAAACAGCACAACCAGUUCAAACUAUGGUGGGCUUCGCCUAAAAUAGUUUAGAACGGCUUAUUAAUUAGACGUGCCUGUCAGUUUGAUUAAUUCGUAUUAUAAAAGAUGGGACUACCGAGUGAGGUUGAGCAGCCUGGUAGCUCGGAGCAGUAUCACCAUAGUUGCCGUAUGUAGCGUGCACUGUCUUGGAGGUGUUACAUACGUAUAUUCUGAGACUAAGCAUGUAGUGCUUGCCGUUUUCCAUAGUGCGGACAUGGGUUCGACUCCCAUCGCCUCCACCA
rnacentral:tmRNA from 1 species